rnacentral:rRNA from 1 species
GACGAACGCUGGCGGCGUGCUUAACACAUGCAAGUCGAACGGAAAGGCCCUGCUUUUGUGGGGUGCUCGAUUGGCGAACGGGUGAGUAACACGUGAGUAACCUGCCCUUGACUUUGUGAUAACUUCAGGAAACUGGGGCUAAUACCGGGUAGGAGCUCCUGCUGCAUGUUGUGGGUUGGAAAGUUUCGGCGGUUGUGGAUGGACUCGCGGCUUAUCAGCUUGUUGGUGGGGUAGUGGCUUACCAAGGCUUUGACGGGUAGCCGGCAUGAGAGGGUGAACGGCCACAUGGCGACUGAGAUACGGCGCAGACUCCUAUGGGAGGCAGCAGUGGGGAAUAUUGCACAAUGGGCGGAAGCCUGAUGCAGCAACGCCGCGUGCGGGAUGACGGCCUUCGGGUUGUAAACCGCUUUGUCAUGUGAUGGAGCGUGAGUGACGGUAAUGGGUAAAGAAGCCACGGCUAACUACGUG